rnacentral:rRNA from 1 species
AAUUACUGGGCGUAAAGCGCACGCAGGCGGUCUGUCAAGUCGGAUGUGAAAUCCCCGGGCUCAACCUGGGAACUGCAUUCGAAACUGGCAGGCUUGAGUCUUGUAGAGGGGGGUAGAAUUCCAGGUGUAGCGGUGAAAUGCGUAGAGAUCUGGAGGAAUACCGGUGGCGAAGGCGGCCCCCUGGACAAAGACUGACGCUCAGGUGCGAAAGCGUGGGGAGCAAACAGGAUUAGAUACCCUGGUAGUCCACGCCGUAAACGAUGUCUACUUGGAGGUUGUGCCCUUGAGGCGUGGCUUCCGGAGCUAACGCGUUAAGUAGACCGCCUGGGGAGUACGGCCGCAAGGUUAAAACUCAAAUGAAUUGACGGGGGCCCGCACAAGCGGUGGAGCAUGUGGUUUAAUUCGAUGCAACGCGAAGAACCUUACCUGGUCUUGACAUCCACAGAACUUUCCAGAGAUGGAUUGGUGCCUUCGGGAACUGUGAGACAGGUGCUGCAUGGCUGUCGUCAGCUCGUGUUGUGAAAUGUUGGGUUAAGUCCCGCAACGAGCGCAACCCUUAUCCUUUGUUGCCAGCGGUCCGGCCGGGAACUCAAAGGAGACUGCCAGUGAUAAACUGGAGGAAGGUGGGGAUGACGUCAAGUCAUCAUGGCCCUUACGACCAGGGCUACACACGUGCUACAAUGGCGCAUACAAAGAGAAGCGACCUCGCGAGAGCAAGCGGACCUCAUAAAGUGCGUCGUAGUCCGGAUUGGAGUCUGCAACUCGACUCCAUGAAGUCGGAAUCGCUAGUAAUCGUGGAUCAGAAUGCCACGGUGAAUACGUUCCCGGGCCUUGUACACACCGCCCGUCACACCAUGGGAGUGGGUUGCAAAAGAAGUAGGUAGCUUAACCUUCGGGAGGGCGCUUACCACUUUGUGAUUCAUGACUGGGGUGAAGUCGUAACAAGGUAACCGUAGGGGAACCUGCGGUUGGAUCACCUCCUUA